GCAGCAGACUGACUCUGAGUGUUUGCAUAUGUGUCCUGCCUCUGAGCUCCACACGUUAAGAGGCCAGUGUUGAUCAGAGUCUGUCCAGACCUUUCACAGACUCUGACACGCCCGCAGCACAAUGAUGAUGUCCCUGACUCUACUGCUGGCCACCCUGGGGCUCCUUGUUCAGGGUUCAUCAUCAGAAAUCAUCCUGACUCAGUCUCCUGGAUCUCAGUCUGUUGUUCCAGGACAAACUGUCUCCAUCACAUGUAGAACCAGUUCAUAUGUUGGUAACAACCUACAGUGGUACCUUCAGAAACCUGGAGAAGCUCCAAAACUCCUGAUGUAUGACGCUGCGACACGUCAGUCUGGAGUUUCUGAUCGUUUCAGUGGACGUGGAUCAGAUCCUGUCUACACUUUGACCAUCAGUGGAGUUCAGGCUCAAGAUUCAGGAGUUUAUUACUGUCAGCAGGAUUACAGCUACCCGUACACGUUUGGUGGAGGAACCAGACUGGAUGUUGGACGUGAUGUCCGUCCCUCCCUGACGGUGCUGCCCCCCUCCACAGAGGAGCUGCAGCAGGGGAAGGCCACGCUCAUGUGUCUGGCCAACAAGGGCUUCCCCUCAGACUGGAGUCUGUCCUGGAAGGUGGACGGCAGCAGCAGCAGCAGCAGCUGGGAGGAGAGCAGGAGCCCCGGGGUGCUGCAGGAGGACGGCCUCUACAGCUGGAGCAGCACCCUGAGGCUCCCUGCAGACCAGUGGGGGAAGGUGGGCUCUGUGAGCUGUGAGGCCACCCAGGGCUCCCAGACUCCACUCUCAGAGACACUGAGGAGAGACCAGUGUUCCCAGUCCUGACCUCACCCACUGGGAACAUCACACUGGUUCUGUUCUGAUACUGUUCUCUGUUUGCUUUCUAUAACUUACUCUCUUUCAAAUCUCAACCUCAU